CUGGGAACCUCCAGAACUGAAAACCAUGAGCUGCUACAAUUUGAGCUAAAGCACCCUAACUGAGAGCACUAACAAUGCAUAUCCUCUGGGGACCGGUCUAGGCUGGAAGAUUCAAUAAGGACUAGAGAACAGUGAAUAGGUGACAUCGCAAGUGCCAAGGGAGUGACAGUUGAACAGGGAAGGGAUUUUUGGUGACCAUGAAUGAUAUCACUCUCCUGAGGCUGCCCCGUGCCAGCUACCUGGAGGAGUUGCCGAGACUACCCCACACCAGCUACCUGGAGGAGUUGCUGAGCCUGCCCUGUGCCAACUACGAGAAGGAGUUGCUGAGUCUACCCCU